GACGAACGCUGGCGGCGUGCCUAACACAUGCAAGUCAACUUGACGGAAGGAGCAAUCUGACCGUAGAGUGGCGCAAGGGUGCGUAACGCGUAAGUAACUUGCCCCAAGGUAAGGAAUAACGUCGAGAAAUCGGCGCUAAUACCUCAUAAUGCAGCGGAUCCGCAUGGAUAUGUUGUUAAAGGUUUACCGCCUUGGGAUAGGCUUGCGUCUGAUUAGCUAGUUGGUGUGGUAACGGCACACCAAGGCUACGAUCAGUAACUGGUCUGAGAGGAUGAUCAGUCACACUGGAACUGAGACACGGUCCAGACUCCUACGGGAGGCAGCAGUGAGGAAUAUUGGGCAAUGCUCGAAAGAGUGACCCAGCAACGCCGCGUGGAGGAUGAAGGUAUUCUAUAUCGUAAACUCCUGUGAGAGCAGACGAAAGACAGAUUAUUAAUCUGGAUGACUGUAUGCUCAGAGGAAGCCCCGGCUAACUACGUGCCAG
rnacentral:rRNA from 1 species